GCUGCAGGCACCUGCCCGGGGAGCGACCCGGGGCCAGGGAGAAGCCGUCCCGGCGCUGCGGGAGGCGGCGCACAGCGUCGGCUUUUCGACUUUCCGCCGCUCGCGAUGGAUUCGCAAGUACCAUUUUGGGGGGGAAGGGGCGCCGAGAAGACGCGAGGGAUUCCCUCUUCCCGCAAAAGGGCCGCGGAGCAGCGGCGGCGCAGCGUGGAGAUGGCAGCGCCCUUCUGACAGCAGCGCUCCGUGCCCUACGCUGCUCUCGUUGCUUUACGUUUCAGGAAGCAUGGGGAGGCUGAAUUCCGCCCAAAAGAGCCCCGCGGGAGCCCGGCUGCGCGGCUUUUCUGCUGGGAUCCCCCAACCGCCCCUCGUUCAUGAGUGCAGAAAGGCGAACGGUAGUGAGGUGAGCACGCUUGAAGCAGGAAAACGCCGUGCUCUGGCUAUCGGAUGUCCACAGCCACGAAACGAGGGGAAAAGAAAACGUAUUUAAGGGCCUUGCUAUGACAGUUCUCUGUCAGAAGCAACAGUGCAGGCAACAUUGUUAACAGAAGUAUGAAUUGUAAUUUCCCUCAGAGAUAACUCUAGAGAUACGUGGCUAUAUAUAUACGACACCUGUAUAUUCAAGUCCAGUUGCUUUUCUGCAUGAAAAUGAAAUAACAUGCAGUUCUUCGGA